rnacentral:rRNA from 1 species
GUCGACGAUGAAGCCCUUCGGGGUGGAUUAGUGGCGAACGGGUGAGUAACACGUGGGCAAUCUGCCCUUCACUCUGGGACAAGCCCUGGAAACGGGGUCUAAUACCGGAUAACACUCCUGCCUGCAUGGGUGGGGGUUAAAAGCUCCGGCGGUGAAGGAUGAGCCCGCGGCCUAUCAGCUUGUUGGUGAGGUAGUGGCUCACCAAGGCGACGACGGGUAGCCGGCCUGAGAGGGCGACCGGCCACACUGGGACUGAGACACGGCCCAGACUCCUACGGGAGGCAGCAGUGGGGAAUAUUGCACAAUGGGCGAAAGCCUGAUGCAGCGACGCCGCGUGAGGGAUGACGGCCUUCGGGUUGUAAACCUCUUUCAGCAGGGAAGAAGCGAAAGUGACGGUACCUGCAGAAGAAGCGCCGGCUAACUACGUGCCAGCAGCCGCGGUAAUACGUAGGGCGCAAGCGUUGUCCGGAAUUAUUGGGCGUAAAGAGCUCGUANGCGGCUUGUCACGUCGGUUGUGAAAGCCCGGGGCUUAACCCCGGGUCUGCAGUCGAUACGGGCAGGCUAGAGUGUGGUA